rnacentral:ncRNA from 1 species
UAAGUGAAGAGUUUGAUCCUGGCUCAGAGUGAACGCUGGCGGCAGGCCUAACACAUGCAAGUCGAACGGCAGCACAGAGGAGCUUGCUCCUUGGGUGGCGAGUGGCGGACGGGUGAGGAAUACAUCGGAAUCUGCCUAUUUGUGGGGGAUAACGUAGGGAAACUUACGCUAAUACCGCA